UUAAAGGUUAUAAGCUAAAGAAAUUUUGAAGAAUUAAAAGUUGGAAAGUUACGAGGUGAGGAGAGUUACAAAGGCUGGUUAAGAAAUUUAUAUUGUAAGUUGGUUGUUAAAAUGUCGAUAAUCUUUCCGGAAAUCUGUUGUUAUUUGCCGGCUAUUACGCCAUUCUUGAAUUGUAAAAAAAAAAGAUAUUUAUUCUUAACACGUUAUUAGUAAAUAUUGAGUUUUAAUGCGCUUGAUCUUUGAUGAAACAAUAGUUAUGCGCAUAAAUUUAUUUUGUUUUGCAUUACAAUACAAAGUAUUUCUAUCUGUAUUAAAUAUAUUUCGAUAUAAUAAUAUUAGUGUAAUAAGCCUAUAAUAUAUAAGUAUAUCUUGGUUAAUUUAUUAGUUUAAUAUUGAGGCUUAUAUAAACAAAUAAAAACUAAGUAUUAAAACUACGUAAUAGGCGCAGUAUAUAUAGCGGGAGCGCGCUUUUCAAUAUUUAAAGCGCGCCGUAAGUAAUUUCUAUUGUUAGAAAGUUUUAUUUUGUUAAUCCUGCACCCAGGGUACGUUACUAGUGCAAGACUUGUACAUUGUUAAAUAUGUAUUAAGUCGUAAUAUUAUUAAGAACUGCUAUUAACAAAUCAAACCUCUUUAUAUUAGGAAACCCAGAUAAUUAGUAUUAUGUUUAUAUAUUUAAUAAAAGUAUAUUAAAACCCUUAAUAUUAAUACAAGUUUCUUUAUAAAUUUUACUAACGAGCACUUAUCUCUAGUUAUUAAACAUCCAUUAAUAUUCCCUCCGUACCCUACCCAAUAAUAACAUUGCGGAAACACGGCUUGGGACUUAGCCCAAACAGGUUCGACCCAAAUUUUCCCAUCCUAUAUUGGACUUUGAACACUGAUUUUCGCCCAACGACGGCCGGCCGUUAUAUAAAACUAUCCCGAAUUUUUAAGAAACGCGUUUUUUACAAAUUCAUACGUGUUAAAUAUAAUAAAUAGGCGGCGACCGGCGGGAGAUAUAUAAACCUCUCCGUUAAAUUUAAUAAUAUAACCUCUUUUACCGUUACCCUGUUUUUUUCUAAUUUUUCUUUUUGUUUAUUAUAUGGCCCCCUGGUUUCUUAUUAUACCUCGUAUUUAAUUUGGCCGCACACUCCACGUAAAAAGUACUCAGUGCAAAUUAUCGCUGUGUGGACCUGCCAGUAAAUACCAGUAAAUGUUUAAUAGCCGGAGGUAAGUGCUCGUAAAUUUAGCCCUUAUACAUAUAUAUAUAUAUAUAUAUAUAUAU
rnacentral:sRNA from 1 species